GAUGAACGCUGGCGGCGUGCCUAAUACAUGCAAGUCGAGCGAACAGACGCGGAGCUUGCUCCUCUGACGUUAGCGGCGGACGGGUGAGUAACACGUGGAUAACCUACCUAUAAGACUGGGAUAACUUCGGGAAACCGGAGCUAAUACCGGAUCAUAUAUUGAACCGCAUGGUUCAAUAGUGAAAGACGGUUUUGCUGUCACUUAUAGAUGGAUCCGCGCCGCAUUAGCUAGUUGGUAAGGUAACGGCUUACCAAGGCAACGAUGCGUAGCCGACCUGAGAGGGUGAUCGGCCACACUGGAACUGAGACACGGUCCAGACUACUACGGGAGGCAGCAGUAGGGAAUCUUCCGCAAUGGGCGAAAGCCUGACGGAGCAACGCCGCGUGAGUGAUGAAGGUCUUCGGAUCGUAAAACUCUGUUAUUAGGGAAGAACAAAUGUGUAAGUAACUAUGCACGUCUUGACGGUACCUAAUCAGAAAGCCACGGCUAACUACGUG
rnacentral:rRNA from 1 species